UACCGUCAAUCUGCCACACGUGGCAGGGUUUCUUCCUGUACAAAAGCAGUUUACACACCAUAGAUGCUUCAUCCUGCACGCGGCAUGGCUGGUUCAGGCUUGCGCCCAUUGACCAAUAUUCCUCACUGCUGCCUCCCGUAG
rnacentral:rRNA from 1 species